rnacentral:rRNA from 1 species
CAGCGCCACGAGUGGGGGUCACGAUUAUUGGGCCUAAAGCGUCCGUAGCCGGUUCAGCAAAUCCUUUGUGAAAUCGUUGGGCUCAACCCAACGGCGUGCAGGGGACACUACUGAACUAGGGACCGGGAGGGGUUGGAGGUAUUUCUGAGGGAGCGGUAAAAUGCUAUAAUCUCAGGAGGACCACCUGUGGCGAAGGCGUCCAACCAGAACGGAUCCGACGGUGAGGGACGAAAGCUGGGGGAGCGAUCCGGAUUAGAGACCCGAGUAGUC